AUUUCUUUAAAGGGUCGUUGGAGAUUACAACGUUGAUAGGCUAUAGAUGUAAAGACAGUAAUGUCAAAGUCGAGUAGUACUAAUAACCCGUAAGCUUAUGUG
rnacentral:rRNA from 1 species